rnacentral:lncRNA from 1 species
GGUCAGCCACUGCUCCUUCCUGAGCUCCAGGCCCUGACAAGGAGCGAGCCACCUCCUCCUGGUCUCCAUCCUACCUCCCGGUGGACCCCCAGAGAAGGGCUGCCACCUGGAGCCACCUGUCCAGGGCCUGGGCCUGCUCCUUCAUGGGCAUCCCCUCCCACCCGGCUUCUCCACGCCGCUGAAAGAACAGUCCUUCCCAGGGUGCUUCUUGCCCUCCCUCCCCUGUGUGCUGGCCUGGGGCGUGGGCCUUUCCUCUGAGGGCAGUGUUGGGGCUCCCCUUCCUUGUCCACCUCCCUCACUCCAGCAGGACCCCGCUCCUCUGGCCUGAGGUCCUCUCCUGGACAGUGGCUCCUACUGGGUGAGCCUCACAGAGCCACCUGGCAGAGGCCCCAGGGCAGAUCUGCUGAAUGCGUGAGAACUUGAACCCCGAGCACACCACAUUCCCCGGAGACUGCUGGCCUCCAGCCAGGGGGCUCCGGCUGCCCGGGAGCCUCCUCCAGCCUGCCCACUCCUGGCAUCCUGGGUGGGUCUGGUGCCGUGGGCCCUUCCUCUCCUGGUCAAAUGGACUAGUCCUUGGCAGGUGUGGCCUGGGACCCCGCAGCACCCCGCCCUCAGUGCCUUCUGAGUGGCUCCUCCAGCCCCUCACAGAGGCACAUUCUCCUAACGGGACUCCGAUUCCAUGAGAGGGCAUUUGUGUCAAGGAAGCCAUCAUGUGGCUUCAGGUGGAGGGGCCCCUCCUGCCGCCCAUAAGCAAAGGGUCCACGUGCACCUCUGGGCUGCAGGAGCUACAGCGUGAGCUGGGGUGUGUGUGUGUGCACGCGCGCGAGUGUGAAUCUGCACGUCUGCGCAUGUGGUAAUCUAUUUCUAAAACAUGACCCCAGCGACCUCAUG